GGAAACUCCUGACCUCAUCUGAUCUUGGAAGCUAAGC
rnacentral:rRNA from 1 species